UCGAGCGGACGGAUGGGGAGCUUGCUCCCUGAAGUCAGCGGCGGACGGGUGAGUAACACGUGGGCAACCUGCCUGUAAGACUGGGAUAACUUCGGGAAACCGGAGCUAAUACCGGAUAAUGCAUAACCUCUCAUGAGGUUAUGCUGAAAGAUGGUUUCGGCUAUCACUUACAGAUGGGCCCGCGGCGCAUUAGCUAGUUGGUGAGGUAACGGCUCACCAAGGCAACGAUGCGUAGCCGACCUGAGAGGGUGAUCGGCCACACUGGGACUGAGACACGGCCCAGACUCCUACGGGAGGCAGCAGUAGGGAAUCUUCCGCAAUGGACGAAAGUCUGACGGAGCAACGCCGCGUGAGUGAUGAAGGUUUUCGGAUCGUAAAACUCUGUUGUUAGGGAAGAACAAGUGCCGGAGUAACUGCCGGCACCUUGACGGUACCUAACCAGAAAGCCACGGCUAACUACGUGCCAGCAGCCGCGGUAAUACGUAUGUGGCAAGCGUUGUCCGGAAUUAUUGGGCGUAAAGCGCGCGCAGGCGGUCUCUUAAGUCUGAUGUGAAAGCCCACGGCUCAACCGUGGAGGGUCAUUGGAAACUGGGGGACUUGACUGCACAAGAGGAAAGUGGAAUUCCACGUGUACCGUGAAAUGCGUAGAAAUCUUGAAGAACA
rnacentral:rRNA from 1 species